GGAAGAUAAGGGGGGCGUUCUUUGAGGAGAACAGAGAGUAUGGCAAAGCAGACAAGUUCACCACGCUGUCCAGACUUAAAACAAGAAAGAACUCAAACUGUCGUGAAAUCUUAAUCGGAGUAGAUCAGAAAAAGAAAACAGCUGAACAAGAAGAGAGAAUAGCUCACAAGUGUGGAUACAUGUUACGCAUGCCCUACUACCCAGAUGCAGAGUCCCCUUUCAACCAGACGCAAUACUUCAUUCAGAAGGGCAAAAAUCGGGUGGCUGGAAUUGCGAAUUUCUACCUCAAAUACAACGUCACACAACCCGUUCAUAAGCCGCCUGCACCCCCGGCAAGAAAACCAAAACAAACGAGAGAUAAUCGCGUCUUCGAAUUAUUGUCUGCCAAAAAACGCAAGUUAUCUGUUUGACUUGUAUUUUUCACAGACACAUCACGCGCCCCUUUAAAGGAUGAGGAAUUGAUGCCCCUAAUCAUGGACCUUUUGGUUAUCUAUGAAAACAUUAUAAUAUAUUCGGAUCAAAGAUAUCAGAAAGGAAAUUGAGCAUUUUGAUCGGCCGCUCAGUAAUCUGCACAAAGAAUCUUCACUUGCUUCUUUCAACUGGAGUUUUUGAUCUUGAAUUAAAAAUCAAUU